GUGUGAUGAAAGAUAAUGUGUGGAAGUGUGCUGAAAGGCAAGGUAAAGGCCGCACAGGGGAAGGCUGCUGAGAGACCACUGUACAGUCUGAGGCCUGGCAAAUUUCGUGGUGAUCAGGGACCUGAGGAGAAAGAGCUGGAGAGCAAAGCGCUGGUUGGGUCCAUUUCAAGUGCUACUGACCACUGAGACAUCGGU
ensembl:processed_transcript